rnacentral:rRNA from 1 species
GUGGGGAAUAUUGGACAAUGGGCGCAAGCCUGAUCCAGCCAUACCGCGUGGGUGAAGAAGGCCUUCGGGUUGUAAAGCCCUUUUGUUGGGAAAGAAAUCCUAUCGGUUAAUAACCGGUGGGGAUGACGGUACCCAAAGAAUAAGCACCGGCUAACUUCGUGCCAGCAGCCGCGGUAAUACGAAGGGUGCAAGCGUUACUCGGAAUUACUGGGCGUAAAGCGUGCGUAGGUGGUGGUUUAAGUCUGCUGUGAAAGCCCUGGGCUCAACCUGGGAAUUGCAGUGGAUACUGGAUCACUAGAGUGUGGUAGAGGGAUGCGGAAUUUCUGGUGUAGCAGUGAAAUGCGUAGAGAUCAGAAGGAACAUCCGUGGCGAAGGCGGCAUCCUGGGCCAACACUGACACUGAGGCACGAAAGCGUGGGGAGCAAACAGGAUUAGAUACCCCUGUAGUCC